rnacentral:rRNA from 1 species
UACGUAGGGUGCGAGCGUUAAUCGGAAUUACUGGGCGUAAAGCGUGCGCAGGCGGUUCGUUGUGUCGGCGGUGAAAGCCCCGGGCUCAACCUGGGAAUGGCCGUUGAAACUGGCGAACUGGAGUGUGGCAGAGGGGGGUGGAAUUCCGCGUGUAGCAGUGAAAUGCGUAGAGAUGCGGAGGAACACCGAUGGCGAAGGCAGCCCCCUGGGCUGACACUGACGCUCAGGCACGAAAGCGUGGGGAGCUAACAGG